CUUCUGGAUGCUUUUUGCUGGUUGCUUCCCAUUCAGCUGAGCAAGCUCAGCUCCAUCUCCUGAGCACCCAGCACCCUUGUUCCAGGAGGGCCACCCUGCAGGAUGGGACCCUUUGCACUAAGCCGCUCUAAGAUCUCAAGAACUCCCAUCAGGCUUUGGCCUUUGGUAAUGAGUUGGACAGUGUCCCACAGACCACAUCAGGAGCUCUUGCCUGGCAAAGGUAGAGCUGCACUGACUGUACUAGGAACUCCCUGUUGCCUGACAAGGUAUACAUCAUUCUCAGUUGUUCAUCCACUUGGCAAGUUUUUCUGUCUUCCACACUGUGCCCUUGGAAUAACAUUACCAAGUGAGGAAAAACAUUCUUUUUGCUAGAAUAUUGGAUUACACUUGGCUUUGAAAGAGGGAGAAGAAAAGAAGACUACCCUGGCUCAGUUCAUGGCAAGUGGAUUGAAGAGUCUUACUGGUGAUGCUCUGAUGGUGAUGAAUUCCCUUCCUCACCUCCAGCUUCCCAAGGAAAUAUUUUGCUUAGGAUGGACCAACAAAGCAAAUAAGACCAGAAAAGGAUGGCCCAAGGGAAGGAUGAUCAGUGCAAGCUGACAAAAGAUUCUCCUGCCAUUCUGUGGGGCUGACUCACCUUCACCAUACCACCACCACAUUCCUGCAUUGGAUGAGUGAGAUCAACAAUUACUGAAGACCAGUGCUAAAGAAGGGGCUUUUCAGCCAAGAAAUUAAAUAAAGGUUUGAAAUGCCCAUUUGAAGCA
rnacentral:lncRNA from 1 species